CGGACUAUUUGACGUUCAUUGACGUUUGGGUUUGAGCUUAGGUGGUGAGGUGAAGAUAUUGCUCAGUCAUUUCAAAUUAAAGAAUAAUAAUAUUUUAGGCACUGAUUAGCAUGAAUACUGAAAACACGAUGGACACGUCAAAGCGAGGGUGCAAUUUAAGUUCUUAGAUCCAGAAGCAAGCCAUUAUUGUCAGGUAUCAUGAUACCGCUAUGUGACGCCAAAAAUGUGGAAAAGAUAUUCCAUCCAGUAUAAAUUUAAUAGAAAAAUGUGGGAGAUAGCACGUGGAAAAUACACGAGCAACAAGUUCGGUUCAUUUUACUUUGAUAGACAAUCAAUGCCAACAGCUAGGACAGUACAAGCCGAUCACCCCCUUUAAAACUGUAAAUAAUUGAAACGAACUACCCCGUCUGUAUUAAAUAUUACAUAUAUAUCGACUAUGAGCUACUUGGAGAGUACUAAUUACGCUGUUCCAUCAGACACACAAACCUAGAAUUCCCUCGUGCAUAUUUUAAGGAGAGCUAAUGGCAAUUUGUAUCAGUCCUGUUGCAACCAGCUUCACUCAAUCAUGGAUCUUAUACUAACAAAGUUAGUGGUUGCUCUACUAUUUGGAUUAAUUCGUUAUAUUUUUGGCAUUCUGCCCAUAAAAGUGCACUCGUGGGUGACAAUUUCCCGUGACGGAAAAGUUGUCGAGAGUAGACGCGAAACUAUGGACGGUAUUGUGGCAAUGAUACAAUCGUUUGGUGGCGGCGUUCUUUUCGCCACCUGUUUUCUGCACAUGAUGCCCGAGGUUAGUCACUUCGUCGUUGAUUUGAGAAAGUUUGGGGUGCUGCAAUCGAACUAUCCAUAUUCUCAGUUGGUAAUUUCCGUGGGAUUUUUUACCAUUUACUUCGCGGAGGAGUUGAGUAAUUGGAUGGUGUCGCGCAAAUCGACGAAAAAUGCGGAUGUUUCGAGACCAAUCUCCUCAGUUUCGGAACAAGUUGAAGUGUUGGAGCUGCGGACGCCGACUUUGUACAACAAAAUGGCAUUCGAGAUGCGCCCGAUUGAAACUAUAGAGAAGAACUUCGCUAACAUCGAGAAGCACGAAAAAAUGUAUCUCGACGAUUUCAGUUGCGACCUCAUCGUGGACACGAUGGAUCAGGGUAUUCAGACGGAAAAUGAAAAUCCGCCAGAUAUAGACAUGGAAGCCGACUUGGAUUUGGAUACAGAUGUUAAUGCCGAAAUCGAAGAGUUGAUCGAGGAGGGGGUUAAGAAUCAGAAACAGAUGUUUCGUUGCAUUUUGGUGGUGAUGGCCAUAUCGCUUCACGCAUUCUUCGAAGGUUUGGCCAUAGGGCUACAAAGGUCCAACAAAAACAUUUGGUAUUUAUUCACCGCGGUUUCUAUACAUUCCGCUACGGUUUUGUUUAUAAUUGGAAGUGAAGUUGUGAUUUCCGGUACAUCAACUAAGAGCACUUUGAUACACAUGCUUAUGCUUUCCUCAACCAGUCCUUUUGGAGUAUUGUUAGGGGUAGCUAUUACGGUAACGACCGAUUUGGAAACGAGUGGCAAGUCUUUCGCGAUUCUUUUACUGGAAGGCUUAUCGGCCGGCACGAUACUGUACAUUACCUUUUUCGAAACUUUAAACAGAGAAAAGAAACGUCGCAAGUGUCGGGUAACUAGAGCCGUUUUUAUUGCGGCAGGAUUUACGUUAAUGGCUGUUUUGCAAAUUUUUGCUUUAAACGAGUGAUCUUUGGAUGAAGUUCCAUUUACUUCCACUAGGGUUGGAUCAAUAUCGAAUCCGACUGCGUACUUCGCAAUGCUGUUGAAGUGGGUUUUCUUGUCACUAUCUAUCUUCCUGGCAUAUGAAGCAAAUUGUCACGUUUUGGG